CGAAGCAGCCCUGCGCCUCAGCACACCCAAGGGUGCUGCUCCGGUCACUCCAGGGGCUGCGUCCGUGCCAGGUUCUAGGUCAGAGUCCAGCUGGCAGACCCGACUCUCUGUCUCUUUUUGUUUUUUUCCAAAGAGUUUAUUUUAGAGGUAGAGUUAGAGACAGUGAGAGGGAGAGAGAGAGGGGAAGAAAGAGAGAGAGAGAGGUCUUUUAUCUACUCGUUCAACCCCCAGGAUGGCUGCAAUGGCUGGAGCUGAGCUGAUCUGGAGCCAGCAGCCUUUUCCGGGUCUCCCACACAGGUGCAGGGGCCCAGGCACUGGAGCCAUCUUCCAAUGCUUUCCCAGGCCAUAGCAGAGAGCUGGAUUGGAAGAGGGGCACCCGGGACUAGAACUGGUGCCCAUGUGGGAUGCUGGUGCUGCAGGUGGAGGGUUAACCUGCUGUGCCACAGCGCCGGCCCCGGAGUGGGUCUCUUGUGAACAGCCAGCACAUGCUUGCUCUUGACCCUGACCCCACCCCUCAGACCUCAGGGCCUGUGGCCUUGCUGAGUAACGCUUAAGGAACCCCCAUGGUGCUUCUCUUCUCCCAGAGACAGUAGCUCAGUGACUGAGUUUGCAAAACCGGGGCCCAUGUGGGAUGCCCACGUCCCAAGAGGCGGCUUAGCCCGCGACCCUGCAAUGCCAGCCCCUGGGGUUUUAAAAAUAGGAACAGAGCCUCUGCCUUGCUGGCUGGGGUCAGCAGGGUGGAAGAGGUGCCUUGUAGAUUGGAGACAUCAACAGAGUUCUAGAUUUUUCUGUCCCUGUAGUGGGUUUGUUCUUCCUUGGAUUCCUCUCAGAGUGCUUCUCUCUCAGCUGCUCUGCCUGGGGGAACAGCAGGAGGGGUGGAGGGCACACAGUGGGGUGGGGGCUUUGAGUCUCGUCCCCUGGUUCAAAGCCACAUGGAGCAUUACUUUGACAACGAAAGCGGGGUGGUAAAUAUCAUUAGAAGCUGAACCGAAGCCCGAGUCGCCUUGGAGGCAGCCAUAGCCUGCUCAGAGCCAUCUCGUGGGGCGGGGGCACACUUUGCUGAAGCCAGUCUUUCCUGGGAGAUCCUGGAGGGAGACGGUUCCCUGUUGUGUCUGUCCACGAGGUGUCUGAGUUGUGACCCUGAGACCCCCAACUCCGUGUGGAUGUCUGACCGUGUGGUCAGACGUCGGCAUGCCUUUGAGCCCGGCCCCCUUCCUGACUCUGAGUAGACUGUCGGUUAACGUGGGCGUUCCCCGCCCCUGUUCUUUCGUCCCACACUUUGCUGCAGCUAAUAAACUCGAGGAGAGAGGAGGCAGGGACUCCGGCACACGAAAGGGAAGCAGCAGCUAAUUGGGGGCCUGCCACUUUCACUGCCGACUCCUGCUGAGCGGACCUGAGCCCAAUUAACAGAAGUGGCAGCGCGGUGCCAAGAACAUUCCGGCUGCCGCGUGGGCUCCGAGAUGGGGAGUGGCUGCCUGGCCUCUAGAGAGAGACCCCUGCUCUAGGGUUCUCUCCUGUCUCAAGUCCCCUGAUGUGUUGGAGGGACGAGGCAGCCGGGGUGGCGUGGGCCGUCCUGAGUGCUCGGCGAUGGUGACGCCGAGUGUGCCGUGCCUCCCCCAGCCGGAAGGACUUGUGCAGGUUAGGGCUCAGCGAGAAACACACCUGCUGCUUCACUCCCUGGGGCUGCAUCAGCCCAAAGGCAGGAGCCGGGGGCUCCAUCCGGGCCUCCCUCCCACGAGGGACCCAAGUGCUUGCGCAGCCGUCACCACCACUCCUGAAGUCUGCCUUUGCAGGGCGCCGGCGCUGGGAGAAGUGGGACGCGGUGAGAUGUGGGCUGCCCCGCCGCCCGGCCUUGCGCUCACCGCCCCUGCUCCUGCGUGUCCCUGUCGCCCGCUCCAGCCCCGGUGCUGCGCGCUGUGUGGUUUUGUGCGUGGCGUUGGGUUCCUGAUCUCUGGUCAUGUCGUCUUCCUCAGUGAGGGCGCUGGCACGGAAUGGUGCCUGCCGCUGUGCCAGCACGUGCUCACUGAUUCCUAGGCGUUCAAAUAAAGGAGGUGGCCCAGUGUUGACGGCAAGACCAUGCUGGAUCAGGCGUCUCGGUUACCUUAUUCUUAAGGAAAAGGAGAGCCAAAUGGUUUGAUUAUUAUGCUACUUUUAAAAAAAAAAAUUUAUUUGGAAAUCAGAGAGCAAGAGAGAGAUCUUCUAUCCGCUGAGUCACUCCCCAAAUGGCUGUCUUCAUUUAUUUAUUCGGGCUGAAUCCAGGAGCCGGAGCUUCACCCAGGUCUCCCGUGUGGUGCAGGCCAUCUUCUGCUUUCCCAGGGGCAUUAGCAGGAUGUGGAGUCCGAAGAGGAGCAGCUGGGACUUGAACCCGCGCCCACAGGGGAUGCUGGCAUUGCAGGCAGUGGCUUUACCCGCUACACCACAGCGCCUGCCCCUGCUCUGACACUUUUUAAACUCUUGAUGCUGAUUUGCAGUAAUGUCGCUGACAUCCUCCAUGAGUGAUGCCUCUGGGACUUUGUUGUAGCCUCUUCCGUGUAAUUUAAUUGAGUCCAAAUCUUUGAGGAUCCCAGGUAGAGGAGAACCCAGUGAAGCGGGUUAUCUGGGGUGUACCAGGUCGGGGUGAGGUGCGUGGUUAUGUGUCUCCCUGGGUCUCCCCGGGCCAUCCACCCGGCUGUGGCGCCAGGCCUGGCCUCUGUGGCCUUGGUGUUGGGAAGAGAUAGCGCUCCAAGUGGACCCAGCUCUGGCUCCCGUCUGCACUCAGCUCGUCCCGGUGGGUCCCCGUGUGGGCGAAAUUCCCUCUUCUUUCCCGUGUGCUCACUCAGCUGUGCUAAGCACAAAAGGAGAAAAAUCUCCCCGAGCUAGCACGCUCCACACUACACACUGAAAUUGGUUUCCGGAGUGUGGGGCAAUUGUUCUGUCUUAAUUAGGAAAUUAGGAGGUGGCCAGCCCAGAAAUCUGAUUAGCCAGCUGUAGGCGGGUCAGCGAGACGACCCAAGGGUCACAGCUCGGACAGGCUGGAGAGCUGUUGCUGCUGGGUGUGGGCACAGCCGGGGUCGUGCCAUCCGCUGUCCUAAGGAGACCAACCGCAGGCCACGGUGAUGUCACAUGUCAGCUGCAAGGGUGUGUGUUUGGUGGCUUUUAUUUUUCCCUUUGCCAGCAGUGUCCAAUGCACACUCAAUAACCAAAUGGCUUUUCCAUUUUGCUGGUUUAAAAAUCUGCAUCCCCUGCCUCAACAUUCUAAAAUUAAUAUUUGUUUUUUGUGCUGCUUUCCGAUUGAUGUGCUUUUACAAAAUAGAAGGAGACAUAAUCGCGUUUAUCCUUGACAGCCGCGAAGGUGGAUACUAACCACAUCGAGGUUGGUUUAAAAUUACGUUUACAUUUCCUAAAUGCCAGAAAUUUUAUUUCAUAUCUGAAAUCUGUCUUGUUCACAAGAACACCAAAAAGGAGACCGAAGCACCCUUCCAAGAGAGUUGUCUUGUCCUGGGCUGUGUCAGUGCCAGGAGCAAGGGGCUUUGUGGGGCUUUGACUGAAGCAGCGCAGUGCUGUCCCGCCCUGUGUGAAAACAGCUUCCUCACGUGGGGAGCAGAGCCACCCUCGGGAGCCUGUGCCACUUUCUGUGUUCUGGGAGCUCUGCAUGUUUGCCAGUUUUUAGUUUCAAGAACUGUGGACUAGAGGGCUGGCGCUGUAGUGUAGUGGGUAAAGCCUCCACCUGCAGUGCCGGCAUCCCAUAUGGGUGCCAGUUUGAGUCCCGGCCGUUCCACUUCUGAUCCAGCUCUCUGCUAUGGCUUGGGAAAGCAGUGGAAGAUGACCCAAGUCCUUGGGUCCCUGCACCCACAUGGGAGACCCAGAGGAGGCUCCUGGCUCCUGGCUUCAGAUUGGCGCAGCUCCGGCCAUUGCAGCCACUUGGGGAGUGAACCAGCGGAUUGAAGACCUCUCUCUGUCUCUGCCUCUGCCUCUCCUCUCUCUGUGUAACUCUGACUUUCAAAUAAAUAUAAAAUAAAUCUUGCUUAAAAAAAAAAAAAAGCACUGUGGACCAGAAGCUUCGAUGGAGAACACGCCUGGUGGGUCAGGGUCCUGGUGAGUGUUCUUUUGAGAAAGAUGGAUUGAACUGCUUCUGGGACUCCCACGUGGGCGCAGGGACCCGAGGAUUGGGGCCAUCUUUUGCUUUCCCAUGCACGUCCGCAGGGAUCUGGAUGGAAAGCAGAGCAGCUGGGUGUUGAACCAGCACCUGUAUGGGAUGCCAGAUCGUAGGCAGAGGCUUAACCUGCAUGCCGCAAUGCCAGCCCCAACGUUUAUUAUUUAUUUGAAAAAGAGGCAGAGAGACAGAGCUGUCUCGUCUGCUGGUUCCCUCCCCCACGUUCUCCGACAGCCAGGGCGGGGCCAAGCUGAAGGUAGGAGCUGGGAGCUCCAUCUGGGUCUCCCCCCGUGGGAGCCAGGGGCCCGGAACGUGGGCCACCACCGCCGUCUCCCAAGGUGUGUGUCGGCAGGAAGCUGCCAUCGGGAGUGGAGCCCGGACUGCAGCAGGCACUGCAGUAUGGGUCGUGGGCAUCCCGAGUGGAGUUCCUGCCACAGCCCCACGUGCUGGCUCCUGGGUGCCCUGCUGUCCUGAGAGCCAGCUGCCCGUACACUCCCCGCUGUGUGACUGACAUCAGAAAACACCUGGAGGCUGCGUUGGGACCCAGUGCCUAGGACGAGUGGGCCCUGUUGCAGCUUAUUUGCUGCAUGCUAGGUACGUACACCCUGCCAACACCUUGCUGUCUACAGAAUGGGGGAGACACGUGCAGUACCACGUGUUAGAUGGGGUGAAGGUAGGAGAUGCAGCCCAGGUUUAAAUGCAAGCCUGGGGCUGGUGCUGUGGUCCAGCAGAUUAAGCCGCUGGCUGCAGUGCCGGCAUCCCAUAUGGGCGCCAGUUCGAGUCCUGGCUGCUCCACUUCUGAUCCAGCUCCCUGCUAAUGGCCUGGGAAAGCAGAAGAAGGUGGCCCAAGUGCAUGGGCCCCAGCACCCACGUGGGAGACCUGGGUAGAGCUCCUGGCUCCUCAAUUUGGCCCAGCCCAGCUCUGGCUGUUGUGGCCAUUUUGGAGGUGACCCAGCAGAUGAUGGAGACGGCCUCUCUCUGUAACUCUGCCUUUCAAAUAAUAAAUAAAAUCUUGAAAAAGAAAUGCAAGCCCUGUGUCUGGUGCGUCGCAGACACUCCCUGCUGUCUUUCCUUUGGGAGUUUAAUGGUUAAACCUCAGCCACUCUCCCCGUGAUUCUUUUAAGUCCUCUCUGGCUCCUUCCUGAGAUGUCUCUGUCUGCUUCCUCGCCCAGUUUUCGCAAGGCUGGAAGCAGGGUCGCGGUGAGGUCUGCCGAGUGUCUCGGGAGGGUCGUGUCCGCCCGUCAGGCGCUGUGUCGGCUUCCCGAGCUGUGUGGCGCAGGAGGGCUGCUUGUCCCUCUCUCUUCCUCCCUUGUGCCGGCCACGCUGAUUGCUUCUUGGGCCUGCGCAGCUGAGAGCCGGCAAGCAGCAGGGAGGUGACUCUGAGCUGAGAGUGGCGUGUGGGUCAGCCUUCGUGGGGAGCCCCGUGGCUGGCGGUCUAUCCUGUGAAUCUGGCCAUGGAGAGCUUGCGCCCUGUCAGCUUGGACCCUCGGCUGCCUCUUCACACCCUCACCGCAGACGCCCGACGAGAAGAAUCCGUGCUGGGUGCUCCGCGUCCCUUGGUUCCCAGCCCUGUGCGUGCCACUUGCUCUCAACAUCCUGUCCUUCGUCCCCCAGGUCUGCAGACACUGGGGCUGCGACCCUCGCAUGGUCCCUGGUGAGGAGGUUGCCUGAGCGUGUAGCCUGCGGUGCGUCGCUCUCCCUGCAGCCCGCCUUGUGCAAACUGGAUCAGCCCGAAGCCACUUUGAGUCUGGGGGUUUUGUGAGUGGAGAGGUGUUGCUGUCACCAGCCCUGUUCCCGAUGCCCCAGCUACCUUCACCGCCACUGUUGCAGUGGGCCUGACACGUGGACCCUUUCACCCAGAGUUACCUGGUCUUUUGUCCCUCUGAGGCCCGGUACUUGGGGCCUGUAGUAAUUCAAAGUUUCUCUCUGUGUGAGCCAUUUUACCCUUUUCCCUUGUGUUUUGUUCUUUUUUUUUUUUUUUUGAAAGAUUUAUUCGCAAGUCAGAGUUACAGAGAGGGAGAGGCAGAGAGAGAGAACCUUCUUCUGUCUGCUGGUUUUAUCUGGCGUUUGUAGCCUAGAAAGCAGAGCCACGGAGUUCCACGCACACACACACUGUGGGUAAAUAUGGGCUAAUCGUGGUCUCCCAGUGUGAAGAUUCUGCCACUGUGUUUCAGGCUCACGGGUGAUGGGAUCGUCCCUGUUUUUAUGUCCAUCCAUUACCAGUUGUACCUGUAUUUUAGCGCCUUUCUUCAGAGCAGCUUUUCUUUUCUUUUCUUUUUUUUUUUCAAACGUUCUUUAAGUUUUAUUCAACAGUUAGUAAAUUCUGCUCUGUAUAAACUAGAUACUGGAGAUUCAGAAGUAAGUACAAUUUUUCUUUCUUGCUGGAAAGCUGGAGAAAUUGUACUAUAAGAGAAGAAAAGGGGCCAUCGCUGUGGCAUAGCAGGUAAAGCCUCCACCUGCAGUGCUGGCAUCCCAUAUGGGUGCCAGUUCGAGCCCCGGCUGCUCCACUUCCAAUCCAGCUCUCUGCUAUGAUCUGGGAAAGCAGUAGAAGAUGGCCCAAAUCCUUGGACCCCUGCACCCACAUGGGAGACCUGGAGGACGCUCCUGGCUCCUGGCUCCUGGCUCCUGGCUCCGGAUUGGUGCAGCUCCAGCUAUUGCGGCCAACUGGGGAGUGAACCAGCAGAUGUAAGACCUCUCUGUUUCUCUGCCUCUCCUCCUCUCUGUGUGCAACUCUUACUUUCAAGCAAGAUAAAAAAUAAAUCUUUAAAAAAAGAGAAAAGAAAAGCCAGGGAUUUUCCAUGCACUGAACGAGCCCCUAACGUGGUGGAGGUUGAAUUACAUCGCGUGGCCUCCGGCGGGCCGAGGCUGUUUGUACCGUGAGACACCUCGUGCUGUGCUCUUAGUAUUUUCCCCAUCCUCCGGUAUUCUGUAGACUUACGUGAGUUCAUAAAGGAUUUUCUGUGACAACUCGGAGUGCUCCCAAGAAGCAGCCAGAAGUAGGUGUAGAGUGAAGUGGGUGACCUGGAGGUCGCUGUGACCUGUGGGCAGGUCCGUGCGUGGUCUGAGCAGCGCAGGGCAAGCUCGUCACUCUGUAUCCUGAGGAUGCUCUCCCAGGUCUUGACCAGUGGCGUCUUCUGGGUCAGCCCUCACGUCUCCUGCUGUCCCAGGUCCUUGGGCUGACCAGUGGCGUCUUCUGGGUCAGCCCUCGCGCCUCCUGCUGUCCCAGGUCCUUGGGCUGACCAGUGGCAUCUUCCGGGUCAGCCCUCACACCUCCUAUGCCUUCUCCAUGUGGCUCUGACCCCUGAGGAUUCCUGUCCUAAACCCACUCGUUCCUCCUUCCCACGCCCACCUUGCAGGCCGCUGUCUUGGGAACCUGGGCCCAGCAUUGUCCAUCUCUCUUCUGAGGGUGGGCGGUGUGUGGGGUGACCCUGCUUUGACCCCUUGGAGGAGCACUGAGUAGGGACCUCAGCCCAUGGCUGAGGUCACCGCCGGCAGGCAGGGGUGUCCUCCAGGGAGCGACUUCGCUGAGAGAUGCUGGCCUUCCGAGCCUGGUAGCCGGCUUUGCGCCUCCCUCUGAUGGUGUGUCUCGGAGGGUGGUGAGGAUCAGGCGAGGUCCCUCCUGCUCGCUCGGAUGCACCUGUCAGCAGUGGCCAGUGCCUGUUGUGGUUCCUCUUCCCACACUGACCCACACGCCGCUGGUUCCCACGCCGGCCCCGGGUUCUCCCGGUCCGGUCCGUGAGUCUCAGCACCUUUGUGCCGCUGUAGCCUGAGGGCGUCUUCCCUGGCACCUGCCUGCUCCCGCCCGCCGAGGAGUGUGGCGUCUCACUUUCCUGUUCUGGUGCCGACCACCGUUCCUUUUAAUUACCUGUCUUUCUCUUUAAUGAGGACUGGGCCCAUGUGCAAACCUAGGGUUUUCCCUGUGGCUUUGUUCUCUUCCACACGUGUACUCCAGGCUCCUGUGGGCUGCGUCUGCCGUUGUCACCAGCUCUCUGCAUGGAAUUUGUUUGCAUAAAGAACGUUCUUCUUGUAAAACAAUUUUGUAGCCAGCGUUUUGAUUAAAAAUAUCUUCUUCCAUGGGUUGUUCCAAGAAGUUCUUCUAGAUUAAAUUGCAGAAACUUGGAGGGGAGGGCAAGAAAUGCUAGUUUGAUUAUUAUCAGCAGAAACCUAGGCUUUUGGGCUUACUCAUAGUUGAAGUCCCUGGAGGGGCUAAUUUGCCUGAGAACUUUGUAUUUUAAUCAUAAACAGACCGAAUGCGGUAAUACUUUCAUAAACUUUUGGCUGCGACUUUGGUAUUAAUGUCCUGAACUCUUAGAAAGAAAAACAUAUUUCUGUAGGUUGGCCAAGAGAAAUAGGUCCCCAAUUCAAAUAAAAAUAAUGCAUUUGUUAUUUUAAAGGGAUUUUUCCAUCGAGCGGUGUGUCACACUUUUUGCUAAUUUAGUUGUCUAAUAUUGCACAUGGCUCAGUUCCUUGCUGUAUUUUCUGCAGCCCAGUAUGACGGCUAUUUGGAUUUUAAAUGUUUUGCUUUGACUUUAGGGUAAGUUAUGAUAGAUUAUACGUUAUUUAAUGUAACCGUUACCUUAUUCCUUUUGUUGUGGAUUUUUUUUACAGCAAUCUCUCAGCUGUCAAAUAUGUUAGAAAAAUUUUUUUUGUUUAUUUUUCUUUUAUUUGAAAGAGAGAGGGACUUGAGAGACAGAGUCUAGUCUGCAGCAGCUGGGGCUGGGUCAGGCUGAAGCUGGGAACCAGGAGUCCAUCCAGGUGUCCCACGUGGGUGACAGGGACCCAAGGACAGAGCUGUUGGUUCCUAGGGUGUGCGUUAGCAGGAGGCGGGACCCAAGCCGAGCUGGGGCCUGAGCCGUGGCGCUCUGGUGUGGAAUGCGGCUGCCCACACUGCGCAAGCACCUGGCUCUGUUGUGGGUUUCCAUGGAAGGAUGAGUACUUUGACCAACAGGUGUGUGCAGAGUGUUAAAGCAUGCGUUUCUGAGGGAGGUGCACCUGGCUCUGUGAGGUUUGCGAAUGUGCUUUCUUUAGUGUGUGCCAUCAGCUCAUACGUGCUGUGGCGGCGCUGGGCUCCGUGGCCCCGACCCCUCUGACAUCUGGGCUCCGCGGCCCCCGGCCCCUCUGACAUCUGGGCUCCGCGGCCCCCGGCCCCUCUGACAUCUGGGCUCCGAGGCCCCUGGCCCCCGGCCCCUCUGACAUUCUCCCCUCUGGCGUUGCUGGCAGCAGUGCCAGCCCUCAGUGCCAGAUGGCAACUCCGCGCUCCUCCCUGUGAAUUUCCCUUUGGCCGCACUGCUGCUCCCACGCCUGUAGCACCGGCUUGCUCUGGGCGCUGGCCAGUCCCUCUGCCUGGCGUCUGCCUGCUCCCUGAGAGCCGAGCUGGGCAGAGGUGAAGUCCCCACUCCCCUCAGCCCUGAGUUCCCUUAGUACCUGCUCUGGGUCUGUCUGCCCGUGGGGCUGGGGCUGGGCACAGCUUGCCCGGCACCUGUGCACUUCCCACAUGUUUGCUAGGGCUAGAAAGUUCUAGGCUUGUCUAGGACUGUAUUUCCUUUAAUUUUGCUACAUAACUCCCAGGGUUCGAGCUUAUUUUCUUCCUUUCUUUAUCUGUUGUCUGGUUACUAUUUAUUUCACCUUUGCACUGGCCUCUCUACACAUCUUCCUUUUUUUUUUUUUUUUAAUUAUUUAUUUAUUUGAAAGGCAGAGUUACAGAGAAAGCUCGGAAGUGGGGGGAGAGAGAGAUCUUCCAUGUGCUGGCGCACUCCCCAAAUGGACACAACGGCCAGGGCUGGGCCAGGCCAAAGCCAGGAGCCAGGAGCUUCUUCCAGGUCUCCCACGUGGGUGCAGGGGCCCAAAUACCUGGGCCGUUUUCAGGCACGUUAGCAGGGACCUGGAUCAGAAGUGGAGCAGUGGGGCUUUGAACCAGCUCUGAGAUGGGAUGCCGGCACGGCAGGUGACUCACCCCAUUGCUCCACUGUGCUGGGCCCCACACCUUCCUUCUUUAUGGCCUCGUUCUCACUGCACAGCGUUCCUUUGCACUGGGCUGGCGUCCUGUCCGCCUCUGCCAUCUGUUCUAAGAAAUCGCGUAUUGGGAUUUACUUAAUGCUCUGUGUCUCCCUUUGGGGGAGACACAAGUUAGGAGCAUGAAGAGGCUCCCUGCUGUGCCGAUUGGGAAUUAAACGCCCCGGAGCUGGGGUCCCCUGUUCCCGCACUCCCCUUUCCAGUCUGACUGUUCAGGGCAUCCGCUGCCUGCCAGGUCUCCUGUGUUCACAGCACCGCAGGGCACAACCGUGCCUGCCUUUGAGACAAAUCCUGGUCUCCUGCCUGGCUUGCGGGUUAUUGGUCUGCUGCUUGCUCACAGGCGUCUUGGGUGCUGCUUCUGUGUCAGCCCAGGCUUGAAUGGGGCGGCGGCGGCAGAGCUGGGGGCCGUGCAGACCUAGGUGGAACGCUGGAUCCUGCUCACUCCCUGGAGACCCGAGGGAGCACCUCUGGACUGCGCAGAAGCAGUCACCUGAUGAAAGCUAGUAUCCCUGUAUCUGGGGAUCAAAAAGAACGUGGCAGAGUUUUGAGACGGGGCUGGCGUUGUAGUGCAGUGGGUAGAGCUGCCACCCAUGACGCUGGCAUCCUAUAUGGGGGCAGGUUCCAUCCAGCUCCCUGCUGGUGGCCUGGAAAAAGCAGCGAAAGAUGACCCAGGUCUUUGAGCUCCUGUACCCGUGUGGCUUCAGCCUGGUCCAGGUCCCGCCCCAGCUGUUGGCAGCCAUCUGGGGAAUGAACCAACUGAUGGAGGAUCUCUCUCUUCCUGUCUCUCUGUAACUCUGACUUUCAAAUGCAUACAUUAAUUUUAAUAACACGUUGAGACAUUCUAAAUCAUUUACUUUGAUUAAUGAUGUUGCCACCAAGUGAAUUCCGUUGUUUUCCGUGCGCGAGGACAUUGGUCAACCCGAGGCAGGUGUGGGUCCUUGUCUUGCAGAUGCCCACAGAAGGGCAGGUGGGGGUUGAAGCCCAGCUUAAUGAAGAGACUCCACCUGGCGUCUCGGGACAGGGCUGCACUCAGAUUGGACUGUUAGGGACAGGGGCAGGGGCCCUGUGGUAACUGUCCUGCCUGUCUGCCAUGUCCCUGAGUGAAGGGCUUCCUGGGCCAGCAUUCCUAGAAUUCCUCCUGGAAUGGCAUCAUGAGCCAGCAGCCCCUUUGGCGCAGCGCAGGUAGGAGUCCCCUGAGCUGCCCACAGGGAGAGACCCACCCCUCCUUGUCCAGCAGGAUCAGACCUAGUGCACAGAUGCUGCUGUGCCCCCAAGCCCGAAUUCUGUAUCUCCUCCCGCACCCACCCACUCACAGAUCCCCUCUGGGACACCCAGGCUGACACCUGCCAGGCUACCUGGGGGAGGGGCCGCGCCUGUGACUCAGUGUUCUGUAAGCCUGAGUUCCCUGCCUGGGUCACCCGUGCACUGCUGGGAGCCCAGGUUACACUGACCGCGCUCCGCUUCCUACUCGUGAUGGCCACGGGGUUUCCACGCGCAUGUCGGUCACCCUGUUGCUGCUGCUGCUUAAAUGGAUAAGCAAGUUAGACCAGGUGUGUUACUGAAGAUUCUGUGUUACAAGUUUUUUGUAUUUAGAACAAAGGUCAGGGCUGCUGUUGUGUUGUAGCAGGUUAAGCUGCCGCCUAUAAUGCUGGUAUCCUUGUGGGUGCUGGUUUGAGUCUUGGCUGCUCCACUUCCAAUCCAGCUCCCUGCUAAUGCACCUGGGAAAGCAGCAGAAGGUGGUCCAAGUGCUUGGGCCCUUGCACCAACUUGGGAGACCUGGAUGAAGCUUCUGGGGACGUGAACCAGCAGAUGGAAGAUUUCUGUGUCUCUCCCUCUCUGUAACUCUUUCAGAUAAAUAUAUUUUUAAAAAGUAGUAGUCAAGAAUGUCAAUUAGCAUCUAGGUAAUUGUACUGAUUGGAAAUUCUUUAUUAGAUGUCCCUCUUUCUAUUUUUUUAUUUUAAAGAUUAAUUUAUUAAAAGACUUGCAGACACACACACACACACACACACACACACAGAUCUUCCAUCCACUGGUGACUCCUCAAAUGGCUGCAACAGCCAUGGCUGUGCCAGGCUGAAGCCAGGAGCCUGGAGCUCCAUCUGGGUCUCCCCCGUGGGUGCGGGGCCCUCUUCUGCUUCCUUCCGUGCUGUUCCACUUCCAAGGUGCAUUAGCGGGGAGCCGGAUCUGCAGUGGAGCGCUGGGACUGGAAGUGGCACUCAGGGGAAGGCUGCCGCUAACCUGCUGCGCCCCAAGACGUCUCUUGGUAUCUCAGUGUUAUGGCCAAGUCUCUUUUCUGUAAAGCAGAAAAAAAUUCUUGUGACUGUACGCCUCUCAUCUAGGUCAGUCUUUUGGGUGCGUUCACAGAGGUAAACUCGUAAUUAGGCCCUCGGCUCCGGGCUUUUGUCUUCUCAGCGUGUGAGUGAGCCAGUGCACAGGCGACUUUGAUCUCUCCCUUGCUGAGCCACGACUCUUUCCUUUUCUCCCUGUUUAAACCAGUAAAGUUUUUCAGGUUCUGCACUGUCACUCCUUUUGGCUGUAAAAUAUGAAAGGGUUUUUUAUCGUACUUUCUAUUUCAAAUUCCUUUAGAAUCUUUACAAAUUAGGUUCAUAAGCGGUUUGCUCACAUUCUGAAUACACAGACUCUUCCUUCUAAAAUAACAUCUCCACCUUCAUCCUUCGGCUUCCGUAAAGAAUUGCUUCUUUUACAGCAAUCAUCAGACGUACCAACAACCCUGUCAGCUCUAAAUUGGGCCUGGGGAUUAAAAAUAAAAAUUCAUGGCACUGCUGAGCAAAGCGUUUUUAGUAACUUUCAGAAAAACGUAGGAACUUUGUUGAAAGUGGAGCAGGUGGUUUGGGUGUGGAUAUUUAUAGCAGAUGCCGGUGUCGCUGCGUGCUGACGGGUACGGCGGGUGUGAUGCCCCUCCCUGGGUGUCUGACCGACGCCCCACCCUGGAGGAGCCGGUCCCCACGUCUGCUUUCCUCACCUCUCCCAAGUCUUCCUUCCCAGGGUGCUGCGUCGGCAUUGUUGCGAAUGUUUGGCUGUUUCCAUGGUGGUUUUUACUGCAUGUGGGGUUUGCAUGUGUGUGUUCUGUGUGCUGUCCAGGGCCCUGGGCCCUGGCCGCAGCACUGCUCCUGGGCUUCGGCCAUGCCAGGGCAGCGUGGGCUCUGCACUGUCUUGGCUUUGCUGCCACCUGCAUUUGAGUCAGUAACUUGUGCGUGCUUUUCGGUAACUUCUCUGUCCUCUAAACCUCAGUGUUCACAGUAAAAUCAACUUGUGGAAUUUCAAGCCCCCCCCCCCCUUUUUUUUAAAUGCUGGGACGCCAUCACAGUUGUCUGUGCGUGGAUGGAGGACUUUGGGUUAAGUCCUCUUGGGUGUCUUUGGGCUUGCAGGCUUCUGCUCCUGGGAGUCAGACUGCUGCUCCAUAUUCCAGCUCGCUCAGAGUCGGGGAGCCCUGCCGGUGCCUGCUCCAGUUGGACUUUCUGUGUUGAAGGUUGGUGGGAGGUGGAAACGCACCCUGAGUGUGCUUCCUGCUGGGGACUGGCGGUUGCCCACCUUUCGUGUCCUGGUUCUGCCCGUGAAUCCCUACCCAGACCCCUUUGCUUCCUGACCCGACCCGUGGGGUGGGUGUGUCUUCCUGACUGUGCCCCGCGGCCGACCCUCCCCCUUGCCUGCUGCCCUUCCUGGCUAUGACCUGUCUUGUACCCAGGACUCCCUGAGGACCUCCUGUUCCUGACCCCACCCAUGAGCGUCACGUGUACUGAGAGCAUUCACUUCAGCAGCAUGAACUUUUUCUAAUUUUUUAUUAAGAUUUAUUUAUUUAUUUGAAAGGCAGAGUGAGAAAGAGAAUCUUCCGUUGUCUGUUUCAUUCCCUAGUGGUCAUAACUGUAGGAGCUGGACCAGACAGGAGCCAGGAACCUGGAGCUCCAUCCAGGUCUCCCCCGUGGGUGCAGGGGCCCAAGCAUUUGGGCCAUCCCCCACUGCUUUCCUGGGUACAUCAUCAGGGAGCUGGCUUGGAAGUGGAACAGCAUAUGGGAAGCCAGCAUCUUGGGCGACCCCUGCCCCUGCAGUGUGAAUUUUUAAUCCAUGAAAUUGUAGGUCUUAACGUAUAUUAACGUAUAUUGGUGUUCAGAAACACUAAACCAUAGCUCUACAUUCUUUUUUGGGGGGGGGGGACAGGCAGAGUUAGAGAAAGGUCUUCCUUCCGUUGGUUUACCCCCCCAAAUGGCUGCCAUAGUCAGUGCCAUGCUGAUCCGAAGGCAGGAGCCAGGAGCUUCUUCUGGGUCUCCCAUGCAGGUGCAGGGGCCCAAGCACUUGGGCCAUCCUCCACUGCCUUCCCAGGCCACAGCAGAGAGCUGGCCUGGAAGAGGAGCAAUCGGGACUAGAACCUGGUGCCCAUAUGGGGUGCUGGCGCCGCAGGCGGAGGAUUAACCAAGUGAGCCACGGCGCCGCCGGCCCCAGCUCUACAUUCUUGCGUUGUCUGUUUUUAAACAUUGUAGCAUAGGUUCUGUAGCACUGUUACUAUUUUUAUUUUCUUUCCCUCAAAAGAAUCCCCUUCUGCAGAGGACCAGUCAGUGGCGUGGGCCGCAGGCACAGCAAAGCACGGACUGCAGUGGAUAUCCUGGCAGAUGAUGACAUGUCUGUGCUGUGCUAGCUGCUUGCCUGUGCGCUGUGGGCCAGGUCUCUGUGAGCUGGGUGUUGCCGCGCCUGAGUCAGGGUGAGCACGGUCACUGCUGCCUGCCCAGGAUGUGGCGGACAGCCGAGUCUGGCUCCCACGUCCGCUCCUUCUACACUUGCGAUACUAAAUGUGCUGUGUUCCGUGUUUGCAUUCCGCUUCCUAUUUCUUUAUCAUCGACUCUAAGCAUCGGUGUUCGGUGUGCAUGAGAAUAGCUCCAGCUCUCAGAAACCUGUUGGGUCCACAGAGGACUGGACUCGCCGUGCUUGCAAUGUGAUCAUAGACGUGGACUUUUGGGAGGACCGUGGUAGAUGCUGUCUAGGACCUGAGGCCAGGGGUGCUCAAGUAGGCGGCUUUUACUUUUGAUCUGGAAGCGCUGGUGGGAGGUGAACUCGAAAGGCCACAUGGUCCUGGAUAAGCAGCCAGGUCACAGCGACGUGAAGAUGCGUGGGAUCCUGUGUCCGAAUGAUCUCAUGUAUCCAGAGUUUGAUGUGCAGAAGGGGAUGAGACAGACAAUGGAGCUUCGACAGGUUCUUGUUGUCAAUGGAUCCAAAUAUGUGUAAGAAGGGGCCAUGAUGCAGACCGAUGCUGCUUUCACCGUGGAAUCCCUGGAAAAUGGAUUUGAGAAGAGGAGGACUAAAGGGAGGGCGUCUAGGGAGGAAAUGAGGAUGAGGUCGUGGCCUCCAGCCGUGGCGGUGGAGACAGGAAGGGCUAAUCUUGGAGAGUGUAGGAGGCAGAAGCUGUGGAUGCUGGUCCUAAUCAACGUGUGAUUUUUCUGUGAUUGGGAUGUUAAAAUGGCCCAUGGCAAUUUCAUUGGAAUGGAGGGCUCAUAUACGGCUUCUGGGGGCUAAGGCAAAAACAGGAGGUGGAAGACCUGAAGCCCGGCGGGCUGGGCUGGACUGCGGCGCCGGCAUCCUGUGUGAGUGCUGGUUCAAGUCCCUGCUGCUCCACUUCCGAUCCAGGUCCCUGCUAAUGAACGUGGGAAAGCAAUGGAAGAUGAUCCAGGUGCACGUGGGAGGGGCGACCUAGUUGGACUUCCAGGCUUCUGGCUUCUGCCUGACUCAGCCCUGGAUUCUGGCUACUUGGGGGGUGAACCAGCACGUGGAAGAUCUCUCUGUCUCUGUCUCUGUCUCUCUCCCCCUCUCUCUGUCACUCUGACUUUGCAAAUAACUAACCAAAAAGAAAACACAAGGAGGCAUUUUUUAAAUUUUUUUUUAUUUUUAUUUUUGACAGGCAGAGUGGACAGUGAGAGAGAGAGACAGAGGGAAAGGUCUUCCUUUGCCAUUGGUUCACCCUUCAAUGGCCGCUGCGGCCGGCGCGCUACAACUAACGCACCGCGGUGAUCCGAAGCCAGGAGCCAGGUGCUUCUCCUGGUCUCCCAUGGGGUGCAGGGCCCAAGCACUUGGGCCAUCCUCCACUGCACUCCCUGGCCACAGCAGAGAGCUGGCCUGGAAGAGGGGCAACGGGGACAGAAUCUGACGCCCUGACCGGGACUAGAACCCGGUAUGCCAGUGCCGCAAGGCGGAGGAUUAGCCUAGUGAGCCGUGGCGCCGGCCUGCAUUUUCUUUUUUUUAAAUGAUGGGGGAGGCAGUAGCUCUGUUGCUUGCUGAUGAGAAGGGCUUUGCUCGUCUGAGAAGGCUGUUUGCUCGAAAUCUGGAGUUCAAGGGAACCUUGAUUACUUGCAUUAAUAAGCCAAAUCUCAUCAUGCUUCAUAUUUGAUUAGUUCCUUCUGGAGUCUCUCAAAGACCUUUCUGGUUUCCACUGACCAAAAUGGUUUUGUGUUACUGGAAUACGUCUCGCUGUACAUUUCUUCCUGCAGGUCUUUAUGAACGUAUUAAGUAGCACCGGGCUUGGUUGCUAUCCCUGGGGAUUUUGAUAUUAACAUCUCUGCUCGUGCUAAGCAGCGUUUCAUGUGCGUUUGUUCAGAACGCUGUGGCUGGAGUUGUGGCCUUCGCGUGGAACUCUGAGUGCCGAGAUGAUGGAGCUGGCGGCCUUCGGUUUUUAGCUUCUUCUCUUACUUCCCUGUUUCUGUGCUUAAAUAAGAUGUUAAUGUGUGAAUCAUCAUACUUUAUGGCAUCUAUCCCUUGCAAGUGUGGAAAUAUUUCUGACCAUCAAAUUAAAUGGGACAUUAAGGGUUAAUCUCCAGACUGUGGUGAGCUGCUCUUGGCUGGAGUAAUAUUGCUCAGGGACUUCCUGUGAGUAAGAAGAUAAAAAUUGGACCAGAGUUUCAUGGUUUCUUUUCAGUUCCCCCUGCGAUGAUAAAUUUGCCAGGUUGUUAAUAUUUGAACUUUAAUAACGGCUCUGUGAGCUGGAAAACACCGCUGAUUCUGCGCUGCUCUGGAAAACCUCAGUCAUUGUUACAGAAUGUAACGAAACUUCUUGUAACUACAGCUCUCAUAAAAGCAAUUUUGAACAUAGUAAAAACCGUGGCUGGCUUUUUCAUUUUUUUAAUGCCCCCAGAUUCAGUUACUUGGGUGCUCGUGAUGUCUGAAUCUUUGUGCUGUGCUGUUUGGUCAAUAAUAAUUAUAAAAACUAAGAUUUCUUUAAAAAUUUUUAAAAUGCUUUUUAUUUUAGUUGGCAGCGUUUGUGGUAGAUUUCCUGCGUGUAGCAUGUUGCUCUGAAAUGCAUACGGAUUGUGUGAUGGCUAGAUUGACCUGGUUACCAUAUGCAUUGAUUCACUCGCUUCCCAUUUUUGCGGGAUGAGAACACACACAGUUUCUUCUCUGACAGCUGUUACUAUUGCCGUCCGUUGUUGGGGUCUGGGGUCGUCCUGUUGCCUAGGGGCUCUGCAGGUCGUGCUUCUCCUGUCUGACUGAAACGACCUGUGCUUUGACCACAACCCCGCCCUGGCCCCAGUUUUGCUCUUGAACUUCUGUGACUGGUCUUUGUGAGCUCCCACUCGUGCCGUGUUUGCCGCUCCGUGUCUGCUUCCUUAACACAGUGCCCUGCAGGUUCAGCCGCGGGGUCACCCAUGGCACCUUUCCUCCUUCUGUGUGGUCGAAGAGUGUCCUUUUGUGUGCAUCUGCCACUUUUCCUUAUCCACUCACUCCUUUUUCUUUUUUUUUUCCAGGCAGAGUUAGUGAGAGAGAGACAGAAAGGUCUUCCUUCCUUUGGUUCACCCCCCAAAUGGCUGCUACGGCUGGCGUGUUGUGGCUGGCAUGCUGCGCCAAUCCGAAGCCAGGAGCCAGGUGCUUCUCCUGGUCUCCCAUGUGGGUACAGGGCCCAAGCACUUGGGCCAUCCUCCACUGCCCUCCCGGGCCACAGCAGAGAGCUGGCCUGGAAGAGGGGCAACCGGGACAGAAUCCGGCGCCCCAAUCGGGACUAGAACCCGGUGUGCUGGCGCUGCAGGCGGAGGAUUAGCCUAGUGAGCCGCGGUGCCGGCCUAUCCACUCAUUCCUAAGUGGACAUUUAACUUGAUUCCCUAUCUGUUCAUUUAAAUAUUUAUUUACUUGAAAAAGAGAGGAGAAGAGAGGGAAAGGGAGAAAUCUGUCUUCCACCUGCUGGUUCACUCUCAUGGGCCCACAACAGCCAGGGCUGGGCCAGGAACUGCAUCCGAGUCUCCCGUUUGAGUGGCAUGGACUCAGGUCCUUGGCCCACCCAGGCACAUUAAUAAGAAGCCAAAGCACAGAGCAACUGGGACGUGAACCAGGCACUCUGAUUCGGGAUGAAGUGAAGCACGUGCUAGCUCCCCCUGCUGCUCCCAGGUGCCUGCCCCUGACCCCUGACCCCUGACCUCAGCAUAUUGUGAGUGCCGCUGUGACAGAUGGUUGUGGGAGUGCAGACAGCUGUUUGACAUGGCGGUUUCCCCUGAGCGAUGGACAGCUAGUGUUGGGAUUGCUGGAACUGUUUGUUGAAUUUUACUCCGCUUGGUCCUUUCUGUCAUCCUCCAAUAGAUACUUGACCCCUCACCAUCCUUUGAAGAGUCUGUGAGUAGAUUCCAUAAUUAUCACACCCAUUUCUUCUGGAUGGGGUCGUUGGAUCUGCUGCAGGGCUCCGAGUGUGUUCCCCGCGGCCGCACGUGGCGUCGCCCUAACUCUGAAGCCCUGGCUGUUGUGUCCGAUGCAGUGGCUCUGUGGAUGAGAAGCCGGGUGGGCUUGGCGUCCCUGGUGUGCUCUGCGGAGGCCGUCCUUUGAGGCCUGGGCUGCUCGCACCUGGGCUUGUGGCUCUGGUUCUCUGCUGGUUCCCAUGCUGCCAGCUGCCCGCCUGUGCGGUCCCCGUUCUCUGGCCUUACCUACCUGCGUUUACUUACGCAUUGCGACAACUGCAUUUUCACUUAUUUUCGUUCCCUGCCUGUGACAGUGGUUUCAGGAGGGCAGAGGCCUCUGCGACGCCCCUGGGACACUGUGGCACAUCCCCUCGAGUUAGAGAGUGAGUGGGUAGAAGGGUGAGAACGCCCUGCACUCUUAGAUGGGACUCGCUGGUUUAUGGGCUCGCUGCUGGGAAGAGGGUUCCUGGCUGUUACCAGAUUUUCAGUCCAUCAGACCCGGCCCCGCGUUCACGCCACAGGGUGGUGACCGUAUGCCUUCACGUUGAAUCCACAGAAAGGCAGGUGCUGUCUGUGGCGUAUGAGUCACAGAAACUGAUGCUGUCACGAACCGGUGCAAACUCGUGGAGUUCCAACUUUUGGCUCCUUUUGGAAAGAUAAACCGAGUUUUGCAUUUUAGAAUUGCAGAUUGAAGGUGAUCAGAAUUCCUGCCGGAUAUGUGAGCAGGUGUCCACAUUUGAAUGUUGCUGCCUGAGACGACAGGCCACGCUACAGACUUCAUGCUACAUAAACGUCUCCAACAUUCGUGAGAAUUGGCCGCUGUAGCUCAAGCCUUCUUUCUGUGCGCACAUGAUGUGUCUCAGUUCAAGGCCACAGAAACUACUGCUCAUGCCUGGUACAGGAAACACCAGCAUGGGCUCUGAGGGUCCACGUGCACAGAUAGAGGCCUCCUGUCUGCAGUCGUGUUAGUAAUGGUCCACAGUGCCCAAGGAAGCAGUGGAAGGAGCGUGCGUGUGGACGCAGCCGUGCGUGAUGCUGCUGAUCCCCGACUCGCUUGGUCCUCGGCUUUGUCACGGGUCACCCCUUCGUCUUGUCCAGCUGUCUCCCCCGGGGGACUUGAAUCAUACACAUGUGGAUUAAAGUUUCCCUCCAGUACCUGGGUUGGAUGCAACCCUUCCUGAUAAAAACUCCCUUGACCGCUCUCCAAGCCCAUGGUGGCAGACUGCCUCUCCGUGGCUCGGCACCCUCACCAGCGCCCGUGGGAGUGCGCUCGGAGUGGCUCAGGGUCUCGCUGUGGGUUAGCAGGAUGCAGUUGUGUGGCAUCAGCUGCUUGCGUCAGUGAGACGCACUCGUGUCCUGCAGGUCGGAGUGGAACCAAUCCUUUCUGGACGUGGAUCCGGUGUACCUGCCUGUGCUGGGAAGGUCCUGUGGCUGUGGCACAUGGGCGAGAAUGCUGACUGCGGGGGCACGGCGACGUCAGUUACUUCCUGUUUGUACUGUGGCUCUUGACGGUUAAGGCAGAUGCACCAUAGGUCCUGAAAGACCUGCAGGACACGUUGUUAGGGAAAAGAGGGGAUGCUGGCACUGCAGGUGGACGCUUAGCCCAGUACGCACGGCACUGGCCCCAUUUAAGUGUUUCUAACACAAGUUGGCACAGUUUUCUGGAGGCUUGUGAUCAUGCCUGCAUAACCCAUUAACUUCCACUUACUUCUCUCCAGUUAUGGGUCGAGAGCUGAGGUCCAGCUUAGGUUCCCGUCAGGAACAAGGAGGAUGGGUAGAGUGCAGGCUCUGCGGCAGCCUCCUCCCUGGCGUUUUCCUGUCUGGGAGAGUCUGACAGUUGAUCCUUAAAGCUUUCUACUGUCAGAGUUCAGGGAGUGUGCGCUCAGCACAGCCGUCGCCAUGCCCCACAUCUCGGUCGCCACGCCCCACAGCGCGGUACCUGGGUUCAGCUCCUCACUCGUGACUCCAGCUUCCUGCUGCUGCACACCCAGGGAGACGCCAGUGAUUGGGCUCCUGCCAUCCUCGUGGGAGAGCAGGGUCGAGUUAGGGACUAAAUGAAACUCACGGGGAAAUAGAAUCACGACAGAAGUUUAUUUUGGUGUAAAAACAUUUGAAGUCUGUGCGUGGUUUUCUCAUGACACACUUUACGCGAGACUGUUGAAGGUCCUUCCUAGAGUGCCUGGUGCAUCGUGAAGGUUUGUCCUGUAUUUUCCCUCUCCAUAAACAUUAUUCUCAGAGAUAAUUGCUUCAUGGAAAGUUGUCUUCGUAUUUAACUGAAAUAUUUAUAAGGUAAAAUAGAAGCGCUUUCCCUGAGCUACGUGCUUAGCAGGUGCAAUGUGUUUAGUGCUGACGAGCGUCUCAGGGCCCAGGCUGCCCGGCUGGUGUGGAGAGUGCAGGUGGACAGGCCCUGCCUGCACUCCCGGCUGGGUCCUCUCCCUGGUCCCACAGAGGCGUCACGUGGGGAGCAAAGCACUGCUGAGUCGGAUCCUUCCUAGCUCACAUUUUACGAGAUUUAAGUUGCUGUCUGCUAUUGGAGUGGGCUGAUGCUCUGUAAAUUCAUUGACAGUCACUCCUCUGUUGGUUCACACAACGCAGCACCUGACACUUGUAUGAAUGGCCCUGUUAGGAUAUAAAACAGGGGGCUGGUGUUGUGGCAUAAUGGAUUACGCAUCUCGUCUAUUUCCAAUCCAGCUCCCUGCUGGUGCACCUGGGAAAGCAGUGGGAGAUGGCCCAAGUGCCUGGGCCCCUGCACCCACAUGGGAGAUCCUGGCUUCAGCCUGGGCUAGACUUGGCUGUUGUGGUCAUUUGGGGAAUGAACUGUCUCAUCGAAGAUAGCUUUCUGUCUCUCUGUCUCUCUGUCUGUCUCUUUCUCUCUUUCUCUUUCUUCCUCUCUCUUUCUCUUUGUUUCUAAAUUUAUUUUAUUCAUUUGAAAGGCAAACACACAAACAAAGAAGGAUAUAAAAUAAAAUCUGGCAGUCACUGACUAGCUCAGGGAGAGCACUGGAAAGUGUCACUCCUUUAAGUUGCGGGUUUUCCUCAUUCCUUGGUUUUCUAAGCACUCUCUCUCUUUCUUUCAUUGAUCCCAUAGCCAGCUCCUCCUCCCGAGAGCUGGGUGUGCUGUCUCCGCAGCUCCCUGUGCCCAAGCCUGAGUCCUUGCCUUGAGAUUGGUCUGGGUGGGAAUGCUGGUGUCACAGGGAGUGCGCCAGGAGGGUAUUUUCUCGUGGCGGGGGUGCGGGGGGUCCACGGGGUCUGAUCAGCAUGCCUGGUGGUAGGCCAGCUUCAUCCCCAUCCCUGGGAGUUGUGGGCUGGCCACAGUUGCAUGAUUGACUUUGGUUUUUCACCUGUGUGGUCCGAGUUCCGGUUACUGCAGGUGCCUGUGUCUCUGUGGUCUGCCUGUCUUGCUGGCUGCCCUGAGCCCGUCCUGGGGUCCCUGGAGGGCUGAGAGGGGCAGGGGUGCUUCGGUUGAGUCUUCUUCCCACGAGAAAUGUUUCUUCGUGGUCUUGGUGGUGCUGCCCUCUAGAAACCCUGGGAACUUGCCUGGAGGUUGUGAGUGUGAGUGACCCAUCCAGGGGCCGGCCUUGUGGCGCAGUGGGGGUUAAGCUGCUGCUUGCGACUCCAGCGUCCUGUAUAAGCUCUGGUCCAUGUGCUGGCUGCUCCACUUCCAAUCCAGCUCCCUCCCUGCUAACACGUCUGGGAAAGCAGUGGAUGAUGGCCCAAGUGCUUGGGCUCCUGCCACCCACAUAGGAGAUCCAAAUGGGGUUCCAGGCUGCUGGCCUCAGCCUGGUCCAGCCCUGGCCGUUGUGGCCAUUUGAGGAAUGAACCAGCAGAUGGAUAAAAGAGCCUCCCCGGCAAGCCCCAGCUCUCUGCCUUUCAAAAAAAAUAAACCUUUAAAAGAAAGCACAGAAACUGACCUUUGCACACCCUUCCUCCUGUCUGGGGCAGGGCAGGGCUCGCUGCCCUCUGUGUGUGUCUUAGGGCUGAGUCCUCAGGGGCAUUGCCCUGUCCUGCAUGUGCCCUCCCUGGCCUGUGGGCAACUACCAGCACUCUGGUUUUUUUUUUUUUUUUUUUUUAUAGAUUUAUUUACUUGCAAGGCAGAGUUAAAAUGAGAGAGAAAAAGAGAGCCAUCUUCAUCUGCUGGUUCACUCCGCAAAUGGCCGCAAUGGUAAGGGCUGGGCGAGGCCCAAGCCGGGAACCAGGAAUUCCGUCUGGGUCUCCCAGGUGGGUGCAGGGGCCCAAGCACUUGGGCCGUCUGCAGCUGCUUUCCCAGGUGCAGUAGCAGGGGCCUGGGUCAGAAGUGGAGCAGCCGGGAUUCAAGCCGGCAUCCACGUGGGAUGCUGGUGUCACAGGCAGCGGCUUGACCAGCCGUGCCGCAGCUCCAGCCGGGGCUCUUUGUCUCAAAUGCGGUUCGUGCCUCCGCGGCGCUUCUGUUGUUAGAGGGAAUGAGGUGUGUCCCUGGCGUCUCCUUAAACUGCAGACUCUGGACCCGCCUUCUCUGACCUCUGCAGUGGGGUUCCUGGGCCCACCCCUUCUCCCACUGUACCGUAGCCCCCGCCUCCCCUGUCCACUCCAGUUCUAGAAGCAGCGCUGGCCAGGGGAGUUACUGUAGAAGCUGCCUAGUGGCGGCCUGCGCCGCAGCUCACUAGGCUAAUCCUCCACCUUGCGGCGCCGGCACACCGGGUUCUAGUCCCGGUCAGGGUGCUGAAUUCUGUCCCGGUUGCCCCUCUUCCAGGCCAGCUCUCUGCUGUGGCCCGGGAGUGCAGUGGAGGAUGGCCCAAGUGCUUGGGCCCUGCACCCCAUGGGAGACCAGGAGAAGCACCUGGCUCCUGCCAUCAGAUCAGCACGGUGCGCCGGCCGCAGCGUGCCGGCCGCGGCGGCCAUUGGAGGGUGACCCAACAGCAAAAGGAAGACCUUUCUCUCUGUCUCUCUCUCACUGUCCACUCUGCCUGUCAAAAAAGAAAAAAAAAAAAAGCUGCCUCGUGGCAAGCUCGGGCCUCUGUACAGAGAAGUGUCUUUUUAUUCAAAAGGUUUCUCAAGUACAGGAGGGAGCUGGGGCCCCGGCAGGGCGGACGUGAGUGAGGACGGCCGCUGCGUUCCCAGGGCCAGGCGCGAGGCCUCUGCAUGGCUGCCUUCUCUCUGGCUCAGUGUGUUGGUCCUGCACAUCCAGCCCCCUCCCACCCCCUCAGUGCAGUGAAAACACAGGUUCUGAGUUGUUCUAGGCACACUCUUACCAUCUAAUAUCUCAAAUUGUAUUUUCACUUGCUCUCCGUUACAAAGUCUUUUUUUUUUUUAACCUGGCAGACAUACUGCCUAAUAAUCUUUUUCCAGGAGAGAAAAUUGUUCCACGUUUUCCUGUUCAUCCUGGCCUGUUAUUUGUAGAGCAAACAAGCGAUCGACUUGGUCCUGUUUCAUCCGAGCAUAUUAAGAGUAAAUAUUUCAGGAGGGAAGCUCUUCUGAUGUCUGAGUAUGACCUAAAUAAAUAUUUCAAACCUUUAUUUUUUUGUGAAUGAGAGUAACAUCUGCUGUGCCUUCCGCCUCUCACUUGGCUAUAUCUAUGUUUGAUUUAAUCAUUCUCCACUCGGAGUGGCCGUGAGUCUCCUCUCUGCAGGCACGGCACUCUGGUAAACAUUGAUAAGGAAACCUUUCAUACAACAUGAACUCGACGUUUCCGCAGCCCGUUUGCAAAACACGAAUUCUGGAUUUAAUUAUAUCCCGAGGGACAAACCCGAGGAAACCAAAAGCACUAGCAUAAUUGGGCCAAAUUGUGUAAUCAAAAGCAAAUGAUGUGGUUAUUAAGUCUAAUGAAAUGAUUUCCCAGGAUUUAAUCCAUUUCUCUGAUUCAAGAAAUUUUCAUAAUAAAUGUGUGAAAGUGCACAUUCUGUGCUGUCACCACUCCACGCAGCCUGCCCUUGACCACGGCUUUGGGUGUGUGCUUGGCCAGGGAGAGAAGUCGGGGCCAGCACUGUGGUGUGGCGGGUUAAGCCGCCACCUGCAACACUGGCAUCCCAUGUGAGCACUGGUUCGAGUCCCAGCUGCUCCACUUCUGAUCCAGCUCCUUGCUAAUGCACCGGGAAAGCAGCAGAGGACGUCCCACGUGCUUGGGGCCCUGCCACCCGUUAAGGAGGCCUGAAUGGAGUUCCAGGCUCCUGGCUUCAGCAGACGUUGGGGGAAAGAACCAGCAGAUGGAAGUUUUCUCUGUCUCUUCUCUCUCUCUCUCUAGCUGUGACUUCCACGUAAGUCAGUCUUUACGGAGGGCUUUGUUAAAGGAACUGGCACAGGGCAGGCCGCCAGCUCCCUGUGCAGCUGGGGCCCACGCUUAGGGGUCCAGGAGAGCAGAUUGGUGUCUGGGCAGAACUUCCCCUCCUGCCUCUGGUAAAGGGUGCCGCCGUGCAGGAACUGGGCAUGCAGCCCCUUCUCUCCUUCCUUACACCUGCGGCCCCUGGUUGUGUGGAACUGUGAA